rnacentral:rRNA from 1 species
GAUGAACGCUGGCGGCGUGCCUAAUACAUGCCAGUCGAGCGAACAGAUAAGGAGCUUGCUCCUUUGACGUUAGCGGCGGACGGGUGAGUAACACGUGGGUAACCUACCUAUAAGACUGGGAUAACUUCGGGAAACCGGAGCUAAUACCGGAUAACAUUUGGAACCGCAUGGUUCUAAAGUGAAAGAUGGUUUUGCUAUCACUUAUAGAUGGACCCGCGCCGUAUUAGCUAGUUGGUAAGGUAACGGCUUACCAAGGCAACGAUGCGUAGCCGACCUCAGAGGGAGGUCCGCCAGACUGGAACUGAGACAGGGUCGAGACACCUGGAGGGAGACGCAGUAGGGAAUCUUACGCAAUGGGGGAGAGCCGGACAGAGCAACGCCGGGUGAGGGAUGAAGGGGUUCGGCUCGGAAAACUCUGUUAGUAGUGAAGAACAAAUGUGUAAGUAACUGUGCACGUCUUGACGGUACCGAAUCAGAAAGCCACGGCUAACUACGUG